rnacentral:rRNA from 1 species
AACGCUGGCGGCGUGGAUAAGACAUGCAAGUCGAACGGGAGAAUUGCUAGCUUGCUAAUAAUUCUCUAGUGGCGCACGGGUGAGUAACACGUGAGUAACCUGCCUCUUAGUGGGGGAUAGCCCUGGGAAACCGGGAUUAAUACCGCAUACGAUUGAAAGAUCAAAGCAGCAAUGCGCUAGGAGAUGGGCUCGCGGCCUAUUAGUUAGUUGGUGAGGUAACGGCUCACCAAGGCGAUGACGGGUAGCCGGUCUGAGAGGAUGUCCGGCCACACUGGAACUGAGACACGGUCCAGACACCUACGGGUGGCAGCAGUCGAGAAUCAUUCACAAUGGGGGCAACCCUGAUGGUGCGACGCCGCGUGGGGGAAUGAAGGUCUUCGGAUUGUAAACCCCUGUCAUGUGGGAGCAAAUUAAAAAGAUAGUACCACAAGAGGAAGAGACGGCUAACUCUGUGCCAGCAGCCGCGGUAAUACAGAGGUCUCAAGCGUUGUUCGGAAUCACUGGGCGUAAAGCGUGCGUAGGCUGUUUCGUAAGUCGUGUGUGAAAGGCAGGGGCUCAACCCCUGGAUUGCACAUGAUACUGCGAGACUAGAGUAAUGGAGGGGGAACCGGAAUUCUCGGUGUAGCAGUGAAAUGCGUAGAUAUCGAGAGGAACACUCGUGGCGAAGGCGGGUUCCUGGACAUUAACUGACGCUGAGGCACGAAGGCCAGGGGAGCGAAAGGGAUUAGAUACCCCUGUAGUCCUGGCAGUAAACGGUGCACGCUUGGUGUGCGGGGAAUCGACCCCCUGCGUGCCGGAGCUAACGCGUUAAGCGUGCCGCCUGGGGAGUACGGUCGCAAGAUUAAAACUCAAAGAAAUUGACGGGGACCCGCACAAGCGGUGGAGUAUGUGGCUUAAUUCGAUGCAACGCGAAGAACCUUACCUGGGCUUGACAUGUAAUGAACAACAUGUGAAAGCAUGCGACUCUUCGGAGGCGUUACACAGGUGCUGCAUGGCCGUCGUCAGCUCGUGUCGUGAGAUGUUUGGUUAAGUCCAGCAACGAGCGCAACCCCUGUUGCCAGUUACCAGCACGUCAAGGUGGGGACUCUGGCGAGACUGCCCAGAUCAACUGGGAGGAAGGUGGGGACGACGUCAGGUCAGUAUGGCCCUUAUGCCCAGGGCUGCACACGUACUACAAUGCCCAGUACAGAGGGGGCCGAAGCCGCGAGGCGGAGGAAAUCCUGAAAACUGGGCCCAGUUCGGACUGUAGGCUGCAACCCGCCUACACGAAGCCGGAAUCGCUAGUAAUGGCGCAUCAGCUACGGCGCCGUGAAUACGUUCCCGGGUCUUGUACACACCGCCCGUCACAUCAUGGAAGCCGGUCGCACCCGAAGUAUCUGAAGCCAACCGCAAGGAGGCAGGGUCCUAAGGUGAGACUGGUAACUGGGAU